GAUGAACGCUGGCGGCGUGCCUAAUACAUGCGAGUCGAGCGAACAGACGAGGAGCUUGCUCCUUCGACGUUAGCGGCGGACGGGUGAGUAACACGUAGGUAACCUACCUAUAAGACUGGGAUAACUUCGGGAAACCGGAGCUAAUACCGGAUAAUAUUUCGAACCGCAUGGUUCGAUAGUGAAAGAUGGCUUUGCUAUCACUUAUAGAUGGACCUGCGCCGUAUUAGCUAGUUGGUAAGGUAACGGCUUACCAAGGCAACGAUACGUAGCCGACCUGAGAGGGUGCUCGGCCACACUGGAACUGAGACACGGUCCAGACUCCUACGGGAGGCAGCAGUAGGGAAUCUUCCGCAAUGGGCGAAAGCCUGACGGAGCAACGCCGCGUGAGUGAUGAAGGUCUUCGGAUCGUAAAACUCUGUUAUUAGGGAAGAACAAACGUGUAAGUAACUGUGCACGUCUUGACGGUACCUAAUCAGAAAGCCACGGCUAACUACGUG
rnacentral:rRNA from 1 species